rnacentral:rRNA from 1 species
AUUGAACGCUGGCGGCAUGCCUUACACAUGCAAGUCGAACGGCAGCACGGGGGCAACCCUGGUGGCGAGUGGCGAACGGGUGAGUAAUAUAUCGGAACGUGCCCUAGAGUGGGGGAUAACUAGGCGAAAGAUUAGCUAAUACCGCAUACGAUCUACGAAUGAAAGGGGGGGAUCGCAAGACCUCAUGCUCCUGGAGCGGCCGAUAUCUGAUUAGCUAGUUGGUAGGGUAAAAGCCUACCAAGGCGACGAUCAGUAGCUGGUCUGAGAGGACGACCAGCCACACUGGAACUGAGACACGGUCCAGACUCCUACGGGAGGCAGCAGUGGGGAAUUUUGGACAAUGGGGGCAACCCUGAUCCAGCAAUGCCGCGUGAGUGAAGAAGGCCUUCGGGUUGUAAAGCUCCUUUGUCCGGAACGAAACGCGCUGAGCUAAUACCUCGGCGUAAUGACGGUACCGGAAGAAUAAGCACCGGCUAACUACGUGCCAGCCGCCGCGGUAA